CACCUCUUCCCAUUCCGAACAGAGAAGUUAAACCUUACCACGCCGAUGAUACUGCGAAAGCGGGAAAGUAGGUAACCGCCCCCU
rnacentral:rRNA from 1 species